rnacentral:rRNA from 1 species
GGCUCAGGAUGAACGCUAGCGGCAGGCCUAAUACAUGCAAGUCGAACGCGAUUAAGGUGCUUGCACCUUAUGAAAGUGGCGCACGGGUGCGUAACGCGUAUGCAACCUACCUUUAUCAGGGGGAUAGCCCGGAGAAAUCCGGAUUAACACCGCAUAAAAUCACAGGAUAGCAUUAUCNAAUGAUCAAAUAUUUAUAGGAUAAAGAUGGGCAUGCGUGUCAUUAGCUAGUUGGCGGGGUAACGGCCCACCAAGGCGACGAUGACUAGGGGAUCUGAGAGGAUGGCCCCCCACACUGGUACUGAGACACGGACCAGACUCCUACGGGAGGCAGCAGUAAGGAAUAUUGGUCAAUGGAGGGAACUCUGAACCAGCCAUGCCGCGUGCAGGAAGACUGCCCUAUGGGUUGUAAACUGCUUUUAUCCGGGAAUAAACCUACUUACGUGUAAGUAGCUGAAUGUACCGGAAGAAUAAGGAUCGGCUAACUCCGUGCCAGCAGCCGCGGUAAUACGGAGGAUCCAAGCGUUAUCCGGAUUUAUUGGGUUUAAAGGGUGCGUAGGCGGCCUGUUAAGUCAGGGGUGAAAGACGGUAGCUCAACUAUCGCAGUGCCCUUGAUACUGAUGGGCUUGAAUGGACUAGAGGUAGGCGGAAUGAGACAAGUAGCGGUGAAAUGCAUAGAUAUGUCUCAGAACACCGAUUGCGAAGGCAGCUUACUAUGGUCUUAUUGACGCUGAGGCACGAAAGCGUGGGGAUCAAACAGGAUUAGAUACCCUGGUAGUCCACGCCCUAAACGAUGA